rnacentral:rRNA from 1 species
AGUGAACGCUGGCGGUAGGCCUAACACAUGCAAGUCGAACGGCAGCACAGUAAGAGCUUGCUCUUACGGGUGGCGAGUGGCGGACGGGUGAGGAAUACAUCGGAAUCUACUUUUUCGUGGGGGAUAACGUAGGGAAACUUACGCUAAUACCGCAUACGACCUACGGGUGAAAGCAGGGGACCUUCGGACCUUGCGCGAUUGAAUGAGCCGAUGUCGGAUUAGCUAGUUGGCGGGGUAAAGGCCCAUCAAGGCGACGAUCCGUAGCUGGUCUGAGAGGAUGAUCAGCCACACUGGAACUGAGACACGGUCCAGACUCCUACGGGAGGCAGCAGUGGGGAAUAUUGGACAAUGGGCGCAAGCCUGAUCCAGCCAUACCGCGUGGGUGAAGAAGGCCUUCGGGUUGUAAAGCCCUUUUGUUGGGAAAGAAAAGCAGCAGGUUAAUACCCCGCUGUUCUGACGGUACCCAAAGAAUAAGCACCGGCUAACUUCGUG